AUUGAACGCUGGCGGAAUGCUUUACACAUGCAAGUCGAACGGCAGCACGGGGCAACCUGGUGGCGAGUGGCGAACGGGUGAGUAAUACAUCGGAACGUGCCCAAUCGUGGGGGAUAACGUAGCGAAAGUUACGCUAAUACCGCAUACGAUCUACGGAUGAAAGCGGGGGAUCGCAAGACCUCGCGCGAGUGGAGCGGCCGAUGUCAGAUUAGGUAGUUGGUGGGGUAAAGGCUCACCAAGCCAACGAUCUGUAGCUGGUCUGAGAGGACGACCAGCCACACUGGAACUGAGACACGGUCCAGACUCCUACGGGAGGCAGCAGUGGGGAAUUUUGGACAAUGGGCGCAAGCCUGAUCCAGCCAUUCCGCGUGCAGGAUGAAGGCCCUUCGGGUU
rnacentral:rRNA from 1 species